rnacentral:rRNA from 1 species
GACGGGUCCCGCACAAACAGCGGAGCGUGUGGUUUAAUUCGUUGCUACGCGAAGAACCUUACCCAGGUUUGACAUAUAGGUGGUAGGGAUCUGAAAAGUGACCGACCCUUCGGGGAGCCUAUACAGGUGCUGCAUGGCUGUCGUCAGCUCGUGUCGUGAGAUGUCCGGUUAAGUCCGGCAACGAGCGCAACCCUUGCCGUAUGUUAUAUGUGUCAUACGGGACUGCCGAUAUAAAGUCGGAGGAAGAUGAGGAUGACGUCAAGUCAGCAUGGCCUUUAUAUCUGGGGCGACACACACGCUACAAUGGCCGGUACAAUGGGUUGCAAAGCCGCGAGGUAGAGCCAAUCCCGAAAGCCGGUCUAAGUUCAGAUUGUAGGCUGCAACUCGCCUACAUGAAGCCGGAGUUGCUAGUAACCGCGCGUCAGCAUUAGUGCGGUGAAUACGUUCCCGGGGAUU